UACAGAGGUCCCAAGCGUUGUUCGGAUUCACUGGGCGUAAAGGGUGCGUAGGUGGUCGGGUAAGUCCGAUGUGAAAUCUCCAGGCUCAACCUGGAAAUGGCAUUGGAUACUAUUCGGCUUGAGGAGUGGAGGGGGGACUGGAAUUCUCGGUGUAGCAGUGAAAUGCGUAGAUAUCAAGAGGAACACCAGUGGCGAAGGCGAGUCCCUGGACAACUUCUGACGCUGAGGCACGAAAGCUAGGGGGAGCAAACAGG
rnacentral:rRNA from 1 species